CUAUAAUGAUGGCAAUAUUUUUUUGUCAAUAGUAGCUCACCUACUGAGUGUUGAUACUUUGUAUCUGAGUGA
rnacentral:snoRNA from 1 species